GUCCAGGGGCGGGAACCGAACCCACAACCUUCCGCUUACCGAGCAGAUGCCAUGUCCACUAGGCUACCCUGGA
rnacentral:tRNA from 1 species